CGUGUAGGCGGCUUGGUAAGUCCGGUGUGAAACCUUGGGGCUCAACCCCAAGCCUGCACUGGAUACUGCCUCGCUUGAGUCCGGGAGGGGAGAGCGGAAUUCCAGUGUAGCGGUGAAAUGCGCAGAUAUUAGGAAGAACACCGGUGGCGAAGGCGGCUCUCUGGAACGAUACUGACGCUGAGACGCGAAAGCGUGGGGAGCGAACA
rnacentral:rRNA from 1 species